rnacentral:rRNA from 1 species
GACGAACGCUGGCGGCGUGCUUAACACAUGCAAGUCACGGGGGUCCGGUGGCAACAUCGGGCAACCGGCGAACGGGUGCGUAACACGUGAGCAACCUGCCUAUCUGCGGGGGAUAGCCGGCCCAACGGCCGGGUAAUACCGCAUACGUUCACCGAGGGACAUCCCUUGGUGAGGAAAACUCCGGUGCAGAUAGAGGGGCUCGCGGCCUAUCAGCUAGUUGGUGAGGUAACGGCUCACCAAGGCGACGACGGGUAGCUGGUCUGAGAGGAUGGCCAGCCACAUUGGGACUGCGACACGGCCCAGACUCCUACGGGAGGCAGCAGUGGGGAAUAUUGCGCAAUGGACGAAAGUCUGACGCAGCGACGCCGCGUGUGGGAUGAAGCUCUUCGGGGGUGUAAACCACUGUUGCCCGGGAAGAAUCUCCUGAUUCAUCAGGAUUGACGGUACCGGGUGAGGAAGCACCGGCUAACUCUGUGCCAGCAGCCG